CUCAAGUGUCAAAUGAGAAUGUUUGGGAAAAUGAAGUGACACGAUCAUUGUGAAGAUCGUAAAGGUCCUUUAAAGGUCAUCUGGAUGGCUCUUCAGGAUCUGGGGACCAGUGACUUCAGAGAAUUUUUAAAAGUACGUGGAUUGUGAGAGCACGGUUGCAUACCUGUUCAUGCAGAGGACAACUGGAAAAAUCUGGAGCAGUGAAAACACAUGGACAUCUGUGAAUGUAAAAUCCAAAGUCACUCUUACCCAACAUCUAUAAUGCAGUAUAUG